rnacentral:rRNA from 1 species
GAUGAACGCUGGCGGCGUGCCUAAUACAUGCAAGUCGAGCGAACGGACGAGAAGCUUGCUUCUCUGAUGUUAGCGGCGGACGGGUGAGUAACACGUGGAUAACCUACCUAUAAGACUGGGAUAACUUCGGGAAACCGGAGCUAAUACCGGAUAAUAUUUUGAACCGCAUGGUUCAAAAGUGAAAGACGGUCUUGCUGUCACUUAUAGAUGGAUCCGCGCUGCAUUAGCUAGUUGGUAAGGUAACGGCUUACCAAGGCAACGAUGCAUAGCCGACCUGAGAGGGGGAUCGGCCACACUGGAACUGAGACACGGUCCAGACUCCUACGGGAGGCAGCAGUAGGGAAUCUUCCGCAGAGGGCGAAAGCCUGACGGAGCAACGCCGCGUGAGUGAUGAAGGUCUUCGGAUCGUAAAACUCUGUUAUUAGGGAAGAACAUAUGUGUAAGUAACUGUGCACAUCUUGACGGUACCUAAUCAGAAAGCCACGGCUAACUACGUG